UUUUCCAAAUCUUACAUGUUUAUUGCACUAAUGAAUGUCAGAAGGUAUCCGGUUACUCAAACAAGAUCCAUGUGCUAUUAAUGACUCCAAAAUAUUUCAUUGAUAUACCAAUAAGUUCCUACUUUAUUGUUAUGGCAUUGAUGACUCCAAAACACUUCAUUGAUGUGCCAAUGAGUUCUUACUUCAUUGUUAUUGCAUUGAUGGUCUAUUUAUA
rnacentral:lncRNA from 1 species